rnacentral:misc_RNA from 1 species
AGCAGCCGCGGUAAUUCCAGCUCCAAUAGCGUAUAUUAAAGUUGUUGCAGUUAAAAAGCUCGUAGUUGAAUUUCGGGAUCAAUAUAUCGGUCGUGCCUUGGUACGUACUGGUAUCAUUGGUUUCUCCUUUCUGACGAACCAUGAUGUCAUUAAUUUGGUGUUAUGGGAAGUUAGGACUGUUACUUUGAAAAAUUAGAGUGUUUAAAGCAGGCUUUAGCUUGAAUACAUUAGCAUGGAAUAAUGAAAUAGGACGUUCGAACCUAUUUUGUUGGUUUCUAGGAUCAACGUAAUGAUUAAUAGGGAUAGUUGGGGGCAUUAGUAUUCAAUUGUCAGAGGUGAAAUUCUUGGAUUUAUUGAAGACUAACUACUGCGAAAGCAUUUGCCAAGGAUGUUUUCAUUAAUCAAGAACGAAAGUUAGGGGAUCGAAGACGAUCAGAUACCGUCGUAGUCUUAACCAUAAACUAUGCCGACUAGGGAUCGGAUGAUGUUAAUUUUUAAUGACUCAUUCGGCGCCUUACGG